GGGUUGUGAGGUUAAGCGACUAAGCGUACACGGUGGAUGCCCUGGCAGUCAGAGGCGAUGAAGGGCGUGCUAAUCUGCGAUAAGCGCCGGUAAGGUGAUAUGAACCGUUAUAACCGGCGAUACCCGAAUGGGGAAACCCAGUGUGAUUCGUCACACUAUCAUUAACUGAAUCCAUAGGUUAAUGAGGCGAACCGGGGGAACUGAAACAUCUAAGUACCCCGAGGAAAAGAAAUCAACCGA
rnacentral:rRNA from 2 species